UCUUAGUAUUUACACAUCACCUUAUUGUUUAUAUCCCCCCAGUUAUCACAUCACUCCAGUGAUUACAUCAUCGGUGAUAUACCAAACAGCACCUUAGGAGAUCCUUUAGUCCGUAUCGUGAUAUUAUUAGCGCUCUCCCUGCCUUUUGGAAUAGGACUUGUAUCUUGAUUGAGAAUGGCCGAAGCAACCUCUUUUGGAAAGAUAAUUGAAUCAGUGAUGGCCCC
rnacentral:lncRNA from 1 species